UUGAACGCUGGCGGCAUGCCUUACACAUGCAAGUCGAACGGCAGCACGGGUGCUUGCACCUGGUGGCGAGUGGCGAACGGGUGAGUAAUACAUCGGAACAUGUCCUGUAGUGGGGGAUAGCCCGGCGAAAGCCGGAUUAAUACCGCAUACGAUCUACGGAUGAAAGCGGGGGACCUUCGGGCCUCGCGCUAUAGGGUUGGCCGAUGGCUGAUUAGCUAGUUGGUGGGGUAAAGGCCUACCAAGGCGACGAUCAGUAGCUGGUCUGAGAGGACGACCAGCCACACUGGGACUGAGACACGGCCCAGACUCCUACGGGAGGCAGCAGUGGGGAAUUUUGGACAAUGGGCGAAAGCCUGAUCCAGCAAUGCCGCGUGUGUGAAGAAGGCCUUCGGGUUGUAAAGCACUUUUGUCCGGAAAGAAAUCCUUGGCUCUAAUACAGUCGGGGGAUGACGGUACCGGAAGAAUAAGCACCGGCUAACUACGUGCCAGCAGCCGCGGUAAUACGUAGGGUGCGAGCGUUAAUCGGAAUUACUGGGCGUAAAGCGUGCGCAGGCGGUUUGCUAAGACCGAUGUGAAAUCCCCGGGCUCAACCUGGGAACUGCAUUGGUGACUGGCAGGCUAGAGUAUGGCAGAGGGGGGUAGAAUUCCACGUGUAGCAGUGAAAUGCGUAGAGAUGUGGAGGAAUACCGAUGGCGAAGGCAGCCCCCUGGGCCAAUACUGACGCUCAUGCACGAAAGCGUGGGGAGCAAACAGGAUUAGAUACCCUGGUAGUCCACGCCCUAAACGAUGUCAACUAGUUGUUGGGGAUUCAUUUCCUUAGUAACGUAGCUAACGCGUGAAGUUGACCGCCUGGGGAGUACGGUCGCAAGAUUAAAACUCAAAGGAAUUGACGGGGACCCGCACAAGCGGUGGAUGAUGUGGAUUAAUUCGAUGCAACGCGAAAAACCUUACCUACCCUUGACAUGGUCGGAAUCCCGCUGAGAGGUGGGAGUGCUCGAAAGAGAACCGGCGCACAGGUGCUGCAUGGCUGUCGUCACCUCGUGUCGUGAGAUGUUGGGUCCCCGCCCCGCAACGAGCGCAACCCUUGUCCUUAGUUGCUACGCAAGAGCACUCUAAGGAGACUGCCGGUGACAAACCGGAGGAAGGUGGGGAUGACGUCAAGUCCUCAUGGCCCUUAUGGGUAGGGCUUCACACGUCAUACAAUGGUCGGAACAGAGGGUUGCCAACCCGCGAGGGGGAGCUAAUCCCAGAAAACCGAUCGUAGUCCGGAUUGCACUCUGCAACUCGAGUGCAUGAAGCUGGAAUCGCUAGUAAUCGCGGAUCAGCAUGCCGCGGUGAAUACGUUCCCGGGUCUUGUACACACCGCCCGU
rnacentral:rRNA from 1 species